rnacentral:rRNA from 1 species
AUGAACGCUAGCUACAGGCUUAACACAUGCAAGUCGAGGGGCAGCAUGGUCUUAGCUUGCUAAGGCCGAUGGCGACCGGCGCACGGGUGAGUAACGCGUAUCCAACCUGCCUUACACUCUUGGACAGCCUUCUGAAAGAGAGAUUAAUACAAGAUGUUAUCAUGAGUAAGCAUUUUCGCAUGAUUAAAGGUUUACCGGUGUAAGAUGGGGAUGCGUUCCAUUAGAUAGUAGGCGGGGUAACGGCCCACCUAGUCUUCGAUGGAUAGGGGUUCUGAGAGGAAGGUCCCCCACAUUGGAACUGAGACACGGUCCAAACUCCUACGGGAGGCAGCAGUGAGGAAUAUUGGUCAAUGGACGAGAGUCUGAACCAGCCAAGUAGCGUGAAGGAUGAAGGUUCUAUGGAUUGUAAACUUCUUUUAUACGGGAAUAAACGAAUCCACGCGUGGAUUUUUGCAUGUACCGUAUGAAUAAGGAUCGGCUAACUCCGUGCCAGCAGCCGCGGUAAUACGGAGGAUCCGAGCGUUAUCCGGAUUUAUUGGGUUUAAAGGGAGCGUAGAUGGGUUGUUAAGUCAGUUGUGAAAGUUUGCGGCUCAACCGUAAAAUUGCAAUUGAUACUGGCAGUCUUGAGUACAGUUGAGGUAGGCGGAAUUCGUGGUGUAGCGGUGAAAUGCUUAGAUAUCACGAAGAACUCCGAUUGCGAAGGCAGCUUACUAACCUGUAACUGACAUUGAUGCUCGAAAGUGUGGGUAUCAAACAGGAUUAGAUACCCUGGUAGUCCACACAGUAAACGAUGAAUACUCGCUGUUUGCGAUAUACAGUAAGCGGCCAAGCGAAAGCAUUAAGUAUUCCACCUGGGGAGUACGCCGGCAACGGUGAAACUCAAAGGAAUUGACGGGGGCCCGCACAAGCGGAGGAACAUGUGGUUUAAUUCGAUGAUACGCGAGGAACCUUACCCGGGCUUAAAUUGCAACCGAAUAUGGCGGAAACGCUAUAGCUAGCAAUAGCGGUUGUGAAGGUGCUGCAUGGUUGUCGUCAGCUCGUGCCGUGAGGUGUCGGCUUAAGUGCCAUAACGAGCGCAACCCUUGCCGAUAGUUACUAACAGGUUAUGCUGAGGACUCUGUCGGGACUGCCAUCGUAAGAUGUGAGGAAGGUGGGGAUGACGUCAAAUCAGCACGGCCCUUACGUCCGGGGCUACACACGUGUUACAAUGGGGGGUACAGAGGGCUGCUACCACGCAAGUGGAUGCCAAUCCCAAAAACCUCUCUCAGUUCGGAUUGAAGUCUGCAACCCGACUUCAUGAAGCUGGAUUCGCUAGUAAUCGCGCAUCAGCCACGGCGCGGUGAAUACGUUCCCGGGCCUUGUACACACCGCCCGUCAAGCCAUGGGAGCCGGGGGUACCUGAAGUGCGUAACCGCAAGGAGCGCCCUAGGGUAAAACUGGUGACUGGGGCU